UUGAACGCUGGCGGAAUGCUUUACACAUGCAAGUCGAACGGCAGCACGGGGGCAACCCUGGUGGCGAGUGGCGAACGGGUGAGUAAUGUAUCGGAACGUACCCAGUCGUGGGGGAUAACUAUCCGAAAGGAUAGCUAAUACCGCAUACGUCCUGAGGGAGAAAGCGGGGGAUCGCAAGACCUCGCGCGAUUGGAGCGGCCGAUGUCAGAUUAGCUAGUUGGUGGGGUAAAAGCCUACCAAGGCGACGAUCUGUAGCUGGUCUGAGAGGACGACCAGCCACACUGGGACUGAGACACGGCCCAGACUCCUACGGGAGGCAGCAGUGGGGAAUUUUGGACAAUGGGCGCAAGCCUGAUCCAGCCAUGCCGCGUGCGGGAAGAAGGCCUUCGGGUUGUAAACCGCUUUUGUCAGGGAAGAAACGGUCUGGGCUAAUACCCUGGGCUAAUGACGGUACCUGAAGAAUAAGCACCGGCUAACUACGU
rnacentral:rRNA from 1 species